rnacentral:rRNA from 1 species
GGCCUUCUGGGUUGUAAACUGCUUUUGUCAGGGGAUAAAAAGCUCGUGCGCGAGAAAUUGAAUGUACCUGGCGAAUAAGCCACGGCUAACUACGUGCCAGCAGCCGCGGUAAUACGUAGGUGGCAAGCGUUGUCCGGAUUUAUUGGGUUUAAAGGGUGCGUAGGCGGUCCUGUAAGUCAGUGGUGAAAUACGGCAGCUCAACUGUCGAGGUGCCAUUGAUACUGCGGGACUUGAGUGUUGAUGAGGUAGGCGGAAUUGACGGUGUAGCCGGUGAAAUGCUUAGAUAUCGUCAAGAACACCGAUAGCGAAGGCAGCUUACCAAGCAACAACUGACGCUGAGGCACGAAAGUGUGGGGAUCAAACAGGAUUAGAUACCCUGGUAGUCC